CAGUAGCCGCGGUAAUACGUAGGGUGCAAGCGUUAAUCGGAAUUACUGGGCGUAAAGCGUGCGCAGGCGGUCCGCUAAGACAGAUGUGGAAUCCCCGGGCUUAACCUGGGAACUGCAUUUGUGACUGGCGGGCUAGAGUAUGGCAGAGGGGGGUAGAAUUCCACGUGUAGCAGUGAAAUGCGUAGAGAUGUGGAGGAAUACCGAUGGCGAAGGCAGCCCCCUGGGCCAAUACUGACGCUCAUGCACGAAAGCGUGGGGAGCAAACAGGAUUAGAUACCCCUGUAGUCCCUGUCUCUUAUAC
rnacentral:rRNA from 1 species